GAGACUCUGUGCGCGUGCAUAUCAAUAAGCGGAGGAAAAGAAACUAACAAGGAUUCCCUUAGUAACGGCGAGUGAGGCGGGAAGAGCUCAAAUUUGAAAUCUUCAAGGUUCUACCUUGACGAAUUGUAGUUUAUAGAAGUGUUUUCUGUUAGUAGGAGUGGCAAAAGUUCUUUGGAAUAGGACAUCAUAGAGGGGUGAGAAUCCCGUAUUUGGUCAUUCCUUCUAGCGUUGUGAUACACUUUCAACGAGUCGGAUUGUUUGGAAUGCAGUCCAAAAUGGGUGGUAAAUUUCAUCUAAAGCUAAAUAUUGGCGAGAGACCGAUAGCGAACAAGUACCGUGAGGGAAAGAUGAAAAGAACUUUGAAAAGAGAGUUAAACAGUACGUGAAAUUGUCAGAAGGGAAGCGUUUGACACCAGUGUUGUUUUUCCGAAAAUCAAUUACGAAUGUUUUAUUUUUGAGAAGUUAUGACUUCAUCGGCUUGCUUCUCUCUUUAUGAAACUUUCUUAAUGCACUUUUCGGUUAACAAGUCAACAUCAAUUUCUUUUGUUGUAAAAGGGUAUGAGGAAGGUGGCUUUCUUUUCGGAGAAAGUGUUUAUAGCCUUGUACCUCUGCAAUCGGAGAGAUUGAGGUCUGCAGCGUAGAUCCUUCGGGGUUAGAUACAUUUGUGCUAAGUUAUAGCUUUUCAUAGACAACUUGUUGACUAUGUUUAGUCUUGUAGCUUACUCGCUUAUGCUAUUUUACCUACGCUUAGGAUGUUGACAGCAGUAUAGACUGU
rnacentral:rRNA from 1 species